GCCCCCCCCCUAAGGAAAUCGAUAAAAACACAUAGAAAUGAAAAUGAAUUAAAACACCACAUGGAAGGUUCUAAAACCGGUCCAUGGAACCUUCCCAAAACGGCUUCGGUGGUUGCAGUGUUGCGCCAACCUAUUUAGUGGAGCACUAGAGGCGAGGCCAAGCUACAUAUGUCAAUAAGCGACGCCUCGAUUUUUGUUGUUGUCACGAUUCCGUGUGUGCCAUGUUCUUCUUCCUGCCUUUCACCUUCCUACUCCCACCCCAUCGAGCCGCCUCUGAUGCCGGGGUAACCUACAGUCCCCACCACCUGGAGCAGGAGGCACUGUAGCAUGCAACCACUCCCGCUCGACUCGCCUCCUCCAUCGCCCAUGGCACCCCUUACGCCCACUCCCCCUCCAGCGACCGCCCCCACCAUGCACCCGCACUCGGCAAUACUCUUCGUAGCUUCCUACAAUGAUGUCACGGCUCCUCGGUGAUUGCUUUUCUUCAGUUGUGAUGCCGUGAGCAGCCACAGCCUCCCCAUCUUCGGCUCGGUGCUACGCCUGGGAAUUGGCUGGACAUGCGAAAAAACUAUUAAGCGGCCCAAGAAUAGCAAACAUGUACUCCCUCCAUUUCAAAUUAAGUGUCGCUGAUUUAGUACAAAGUGUCGCUUGGAGCGGAGGGAGUACACAUACAUUGCAACGUUGUUGUUAGCUAGCUUGGCACGAUCAAUAUGUAUCGCCAGACUCCAAGGAAAGGAGCGGGAAAAGAAAAGAAAAAAAAAGUCAAGGCAGUGCGAAUGCGUGCACGAUUAUCUGCUUCAACGGAAAGGAAGAUAAAUGAUGAACUUCGAAAAGGAAAAUUGGGAAUUGCAUUCCAGCACACGCUCCGUCCAUGAAUGUCCUGCGUCAUCUAUGGACUAAAAUUCCACAUGCGUGCAUACCAGCACACGCUCUCGAUCAUGCAUGCAUGGCCAGCCGCUCACCGCCGUGCCUCUCGACCGGAUAUAAGCCGCCAAGUUUGAUCUUUCGAUCGCAUGACGAGCAGGUAGAUAGAUAGAGAGAUCAAUCAUGGCGAUCGAGUAGCGCGACACCUAUAUAAAGACGUGCACUCCCCACCGCUUCUGCCACACACACACACACCACCACCACCACCACCACCACCACACUUGGAUCACAAGAUAGUGGUUCGUUGCUACCCACGAUGAGAGCGUUCGCGUUGUUUGCCGUGCUUGCCAUGGCGGCCGCCAUGGCCGUCGCCGAGCAGUGCGGCUCCCAGGCCGGCGGGGCGACCUGCCCCAACUGCCUCUGCUGCAGCCGCUUCGGCUGGUGCGGCUCCACCUCGGACUACUGCGGCGACGGAUGCCAGAGCCAGUGCUCCGGUUGCGGCAGCACGCCCGUCACCCCCACACCCUCCGGCGGUGGCGGCGUGUCCUCCAUCAUCUCCCGCGCCCUCUUCGACCGCAUGCUACUGCACCGCAACGACGGCGCCUGCCAGGCCAAGGGCUUCUACACCUACGACGCCUUCGUCGCGGCCGCCGGCACCUUCCGGGGCUUCAGCACCACGGGCAGCACGGACACCCGGAAGCGCGAGGUGGCCGCCUUCCUGGCCCAGACCUCCCACGAGACCACCGGUGGGUGGGCGACGGCGCCGGACGGAGCCUUCGCGUGGGGCUACUGCUUCAAGCAGGAGCGUGGCGCCACCUCCAACUAUUGCACUCCGAGCGCGCAAUGGCCGUGCGCCCCAGGGAAGAGCUACUACGGCCGUGGGCCGAUCCAGCUCUCCCACAACUACAACUACGGGCCGGCAGGCCGGGCCAUUGGGGUCGAUCUGCUGCGCAACCCAGACCUGGUUGCCACGGACCCGACGGUGUCUUUUAAGACAGCGAUGUGGUUUUGGAUGACGGCACAGGCGCCAAAGCCGUCGAGCCAUGCUGUGAUCACGGGCCAAUGGAGCCCAUCAGGGACGGACCGGGCUGCAGGGCGGGUGCCCGGGUUUGGCGUGAUCACCAACAUAGUUAACGGCGGGAUCGAGUGCGGGCAUGGGCAGGACAGCCGAGUCGCCGAUCGGAUAGGAUUUUACAAGCGCUACUGUGACAUCCUCGGUGUUGGCUAUGGUGACAACCUCGACUGCUACAAUCAGAGGCCCUUCGCUUAACUAAUUAGUUAUAUUUAUAUAACCCCUCCAAACAAAAUACAAUAAGAGCAUCCUCUCUCAUCUAGAUGUUGGAAGUUGUAACUAUGGUUACAUCUCAUAAGGAACUCAAUAAAAGCAUCCAGUAUAGAUGCUUUGUAUUGAGGGCGUGUUUGGUUGAGAAGUCUUAUGACUUUUUCUAGUCCCAGGGACUAAUCAAAAAAGACUCUCUAGUAGAGUCUUUUUCUAGUCCCUGUAGAAAAAGUCCCUCCUGUUUGGUUCCUAGUGACUUUUUCUAGUCUCUGGGACUAAAAAGUCCCUGAACCAAACACCCCCUGAGUUUUACCAAAAAUAUUGGCUCUUGCUUCGAGAUGAACACUAAAUGCUUCUUAAAGAGUUCAAUCAUGGCAAACGUGAUACAUCUAGGUUUAACUAGGUAUGGUGCCUAUGUUACUUAAGGAUCAGGGGCAGAUAAGAUGAUGUCUGGAUCUGUGGAAAUGUAAAACAACUUCGUUGCGCAACACAACCAUGUUCCCCAGUUGCCGAUUCAGAAUCUGUGAUGAUUGAACCUUAGUAACAUCAAAGUCCUCCGCAGAAACGUGAGAUGGUAAACAAGAGUUUGUGCAUCGAUAAAAUAGAACAGAGAAAGAUAUGAGCGUCCUAUGUGAGUAACCAAGAAUAGUAGCAGAAUACAAGAAGUAACAGAUUAAAUUACCUGUCAAAUUGCAACUUUAAUGCAUCAAACUUUGCUCGAAAAGAUCCCAUACUGGUAGUGCACAGAAUAACCACAGUAGGAGAAGCAGCGAAGCAAAGAAAUUACGUGAAUGCAAGAGAACAGAAAGUAUUGGAUGAAAGAAAAUGACACAACAGUGGCGAUGUAGAAUAGGAAGAAGAGUUCGUCAGACAAGAGGAAGGAGAUGAACAGCAAGCAAAGAAGUAAACAUAUAAGGUCCACCCAUAGUCAAAGAAGGAAUAGGGCAAUAGUUCAUACGGCAUAUAUGUAUGAGACCGACAUGCAUAAUCAACCAUAUUUCGACGUAUUCACAACAUAUAUCAAUUACAAGUGGUUUUUCACGAUUUUUCAGUGCACACAAGUGCACGACUCACGGCGCAAAAGGACAAAAAUGCUACACGUACAGGCACAUUGUACAUGUUUUUAUAGGUUGAAGGACUGCACGCUCCUCUAAUUGCCCCCCCCCCCCCUAUUUUCACCGGUGGGCCUGUGCGUCUUAAUCAAUCCACGGCCAAUCAAUGUUAAGCAACCUGUAAAACCCCCGUAUAAGUCCGUACGUCUACCAAAGUUGGCAAAAGGACGCACGUGUGUGCCCUCGCACUUGGACCCAAAUGCGGGUGCGGUUCUCUGUCCAUUUGUUUCAAUGGAUAAAGAGUCAAUUACACCGGUGGUGCUUGAACUUGGCGCAAACGGUCACUUUGGUGCUAGAACUUGCGGCAUACAUCGAACUGGUGUAACAAGUUGGCUCGGGCGUGCAAAUACGAUGCAAACCUUGGCUGUGUACGCCCGAGCCGCUGAUUAGGCGCGCCAACAUAGGAUGGGUCCCGCCGUCAGUGACCCGAAGGCAGACAGGAGGGCGUGUGGCCAUUUUUUGCGUAAACCCUCUUGAAUUAUUAUUUUCCCACAAAAAGGCACUGUCGACGUUGGAAGAUGGCAUUUCAUUUUUUUCGACUCUAUAGCCAGUGGGCCCUGUGUGUACAUACUGAGAAUUAUUACCAAGAAAAAACGGAGGCCUCCACGUCUCGAACGUGCGACCCUUGCCCAUGUCACAGUCUGGCUGCUACACCAUUUAGUCUUCACAACUUCAGAUAAAUUUUUGUAUUCAUCAAUUUGAAUAUUAAAUAUAAGCAGCACAUGUGUAUUUUUCUAUUAAAUAAACAUUUUAAAUGUCCAUAUUUAAUUAACAAUUUUAUAUAAUAGAUGUGUGUAUGUUUAAAUAUUUUUGUCUACUAAUCAUUGUUUGUAUGUCUAACAUUUAUAAAAAAUAAAUAUUUGAACAUUAUUUUAAUUACUUACAUUUCACAAAUAUUUCAAAAAGAAUUAGCGCGUGCAAAUGGGUUGCACUAUCUGCAGCCAAUUUAAGCCCCACAUGUAUCUUCCUUAUACUACAUUAACAGUUGUUAUCCUUGUUAGACAUCAGAAUGUAAUUGAUGCAGUGGCUAUGAGCACGAGCGCCCUAACAGUAGGUCGUCGUGUUGAAUUCUAAAAAAAAGGUCACGUGUUGGAGUGUAGGAGUCUAACAUAUUCCCUUUUAAUUCCAGCAAAAAAAACAUUUUCCCUUUUAAUUUUCACGUCGGGACUCACCUGUCAUAGAACAAACAAAAUAAAAUACCAUCUACCACGUGGAUAGGGUCUUUUUUGUGAGAAAUAAAAAAUGUCGAGGUUUUUCUGCAAAAGGAAAAAAACAGGUCACGCACUUCUAGUCUUUGACAAAGGGCCCCACGCCACGCUGGCGGCCAAGUCAGCGUUGAUUUCGUAUCCAAGUGCGGUUAGCACUAUAUUUGCACACCCGAGUCAAGUUAUUGCACCAGUUUAAUGUAUGCCACAAGUUCUAGCAUCAAAGUGACCGUUUACGCCAAGUUCAAGCACCACCAGUGUAAUUGACUCAUGGAUAAAUGAUAAACUCUGGAAAGGGAAAAUAGGAAUUGCGUUCCAUGGACGUCCGUCCAUGAAUGCAUUGCGUCGUCUAUGGACUAAAAUUCCACAUGCGUGCAUACUAGCACACGCUCUGGAUCAUACAUGGCCAGCUGCUCACCGCUGUACCUCUCGACCGUAUCUAAGCUGCCAAAAUUGAUCCGUCGAUGGCAUGACGAUGUCGCCCUGGAAGAAAGCUCACGAGGAGGUAGAUGGAUAGACACAGGGUCGAUCAUGGCGAUCGAGUAGCGCGCGACACCGAUAUAAAGACGUGCACUCCCCAGCGCUUCUCCCACAACACUACACCUGCACCAGAUAGCGGUCAAGUACUCUGCUUCGUUGCCACGCACGAUGAGAUCGCUUGCGGUGGUGGCCGUGGUGGUAGCCACGGUGGCCAUGGCCAUCGGCGCCGCGCGCGGCAGCGUGUCCUCCGUCGUCUCCCGCGCACAGUUUGACCGCAUGCUACUGCACCGCAACGACGGCGCCUGCCAGGCCAAGGGCUUCUACACCUACGACGCCUUCGUCGCCGCCGCAGCUGCCUUCCCGGGCUUCGGCACCACCGGCAGCGCCGACGCCCAGAAGCGCGAGGUGGCCGCCUUCCUGGCACAGACCUCCCACGAGACCACCGGCGGGUGGGCGACCGCACCGGACGGGGCCUUCGCCUGGGGCUACUGCUUCAAGCAGGAACGUGGAGCCGCCUCCGACUACUGCACCCCGAGCGCCCAGUGGCCGUGCGCCCCAGGGAAGCGAUACUACGGCCGCGGGCCCAUCCAGCUCUCCCACAACUACAACUACGGGCCUGCUGGCCGGGCCAUCGGGGUCGAUCUGCUGAGCAACCCGGACCUGGUGGCAACCGACCCCACAGUGUCGUUUAAGACGGCGAUGUGGUUCUGGAUGACGGCUCAGGCGCCAAAGCCGUCGAGCCAUGCUGUGAUCACGGGCCAGUGGAGCCCCUCAGGGGCAGACCGGGCCGCAGGGCGGGUGCCCGGGUUUGGUGUGAUCACCAACAUCAUCAACGGUGGGAUCGAGUGCGGGCACGGGCAAGACAGCCGCGUCGCUGAUCGGAUCGGGUUUUACAAGCGCUACUGCGACAUCCUCGGCGUUGGCUACGGCGACAACCUCGACUGCUACAACCAGAGGCCCUUUGCUUAAUUAAUUAGUUAUGUAUAAUCUUGGCCCUGGGCAAAAUACAAUAAGAGGGUCAUCUCCUAUCUACAUGUUGUAAGAUGUAACUAUGGUUACCUUUUAUGCGGAACAUAACAAAGGCAUCUCGUAUGGAUGCUUUGGUACGGAAUCUUACCAACAAUAUUGGCUCUUGGUAUGAAAUGAACACUAUACGCCUUUUAACGAGUUCAACAAUGGCAAUAGAGAUGCCUCAACAUUUAAGUAGGUACUAGGAAAUAUGCCCGUGCGCUUGCGAUGGGAGAAAAAUAAUCAGAUUAUGCAGAUGUGGUAGAGAUAAAAAAAAGUCCGAAUCAAAUGUCAGGAUGAGAUAAGGACUUUUAAAAUAUCAUUUCAAAAACUAUGCCUGGAUGUCAUGAUGAGAUAAGGCACUUUUAAAGUCAUUUUAAAAAUUAAAAUGUGAUGGCCUCAUAAUGACUUGAUUUCCUAAGGCACCACAAUGAAAUACUUUUUGGCUGAGCAAACUACAUUGACGGACCAUGCCUGAGCUAUACUGAUGAAUGAUGUGUCUCGUCUUGGCCUAGCGUACUGGUGUUUUUCAUAACGAGUAAAACUAUCGUACCAAAAUAAACAUAGUUGUGUAUGGAGGCAAAUUAACAUUUAGUCAUUUUUAUAUAGUUUACCAAAACGAACCCAUAUAAAGUUGUGUGAAUUUUUUGGGCUCAGCGCUGCUCAGAAAAAGGAAACCUUUUACUUACUCUGAAGCAUGAGACUAAAUAAAAUCGUAAAAACGACCUCUACAGAGCCCCUAAUAAAACCUCUACAUAAGUGACGGUUUGUUUUUUUCGUUAUUUACGGAACUGUUUCAAUUUUUUUAAAUUUCAUAGACAUUUUUUCAGAUUACUGAACAUCUUUUGAAUACCAUAAUUUCUAAAAAAUCAUGAACAUUUUUAGUUUCACAAACAUUUUAGUUAUGUAUAAUUUUGGCCCUGCACAAAAUACAAUAAGAGCAUCAUCUCCUAUCUACAUGUUGUAAGAUGUAACUAUGGUUACCUUUUAUGCGGAACAGAACAAAGGCAUCUUGUAUGGAUGCUUUGGUAC
rnacentral:lncRNA from 1 species